rnacentral:rRNA from 1 species
AUUGAACGCUGGCGGCAUGCUUUACACAUGCAAGUCGAACGGCAGCGCGGGCUUCGGCCUGGCGGCGAGUGGCGAACGGGUGAGUAAUGCAUCGGAACGUGCCCAGUAGUGGGGGAUAGCCCGGCGAAAGCCGGAUUAAUACCGCAUACGACCUGAGGGUGAAAGCGGGGGACCGAAAGGCCUCGCGCUAUUGGAGCGGCCGAUGUCGGAUUAGCUAGUUGGUGGGGUAAAGGCUUACCAAGGCGACGAUCCGUAGCUGGUCUGAGAGGACGACCAGCCACACUGGGACUGAGACACGGCCCAGACUCCUACGGGAGGCAGCAGUGGGGAAUUUUGGACAAAGGGGGCAACCCUGAUCCAGCCAUGCCGCGUGCGGGAAGAAGGCCUUCGGGUUGUAAAACGCUUUUGUUCGGGAAGAAAUCCUCUGGGCUAAUACCCCGGGGGGAUGACGGUACCGGAAGAAUAAGCACCGGCUAACUACGUG